UAUCUACAAACUUCUAGAGAAAAAAAAAUGAGAAGAGAAACCUUGAGCUAGAGAAGAGAGAGCCACGGGUUGGAGAAAAAAAAGGCACCAAAAGGACAACAAGCAGCCACAAAGUUUUAGUCGUGCUAAAGGAACUUCUAAGGUGUGUUUUGGCGAGUUUCGGGCAUGGUUCAAAAGACGACGAGGCGAACGUGGUUAAGAAUAAUCCAUAAGAGGUAUGUGAAGCUACCUUCUUUCUCUUGGCAUGUUUUUGACAUAGGUAUGUGAAGCUACCUUCUUUCUCUUGGCAUGUUUUUGGCAUAGGUAUGUAAAGCUACCCCUUCCUUCUCUUGGCAUGUUUUGAGAUAAGUAUUACAUGAUGUAAGUUUUGGGGGUUAUCCCAUCCAUAAAGCUCCGAUCAUGAUUUAUGACUCUUAUCUACUUCCUAAUGUUAGAACUUCCAUAAUAAUGGAGCGAUGGCUCUCAAGCCUUCUAUAUGAUGGAGAGUAGUAAAAAAAAUGUAAAGCUAUCUUUCUUUCUUUGGCAUGGUCUUUAUGAAAUUAAUAUAUGAUUUUUAUAUGCUUCCAAGUAAGUUUCUAUUCUUAGAGCCACUUGGAUGGCCAAUGUUUUAGAUUUCCAGAGGUUCUAUUUUGAUGCAAUCCAUAGUAACAUUUAAAAGGUACUUGAUAUGGCGCUUGUCUUGAUUUUUGAAUGAUAGCUCAUUUGGAUCAUUCUGUCGAGUCUCAAAUAUGAUUUAAAUUGCAUUUAUUUUCUCACUACUCUACUCGUGGAUGCCUCAAUACUUUCUUCACCGAGCCCGGUCCAGAAGAUACAUGAUCGUGCGUACUUCUCUGCCUUGUUCGCCGUGCCCCAAUGUGAGGGGGAAGGUACGACCUGUACUUGGAUUGUGGAGUUAUGUUGUGCCAUGUACACAUAUGCUGAUGUCUGAUGAUAUGAUAUGAUAUGAUCUGUUAUGCAGAUAUUCCCUACUCUGGAGUUAUGUUGUGUUGUGGCGCCGGUGACGAAAUGGCGACCACUUUUCUUCACCGCGUUCCGUAAUGUGGCCGGAUAUGACAUAAGUUUUUCCGCAUGCAUUAUCUUGUGAUAAGCAUCUUGCACAUUCUAUUCUGAUGCUCGUUUUGCUGAUCCACUUGCUUAAGAUAUCCACUCUGCUAUUUGACGGUGCUCCUUUAUCCGGAGCCCUAUUUUGAUAUUAACUUUUUUGUUGCAUAUUUGUACACGUUUAUCAAGGGUACGACGGGGCCCUGUCCCGUCAUAUGAUUAGGCUAUCGUUCUAUAGAGGUCUGUAGUCUUGUGGUAUGGAUUCUGUAUAUGUUCUGUGGGUCCUAUAUAUGUUCUGGACUUUUAUGUUCCGUGAUGGCCUUAACGGCCUUCGUGUACUACAUCUGCUUUCAUGUGCUCCUUAGCGACCUCUUUUGAUUUCUA